GUCAAUAAUUGGUAUUUUAAACAUUGUGAAAUGCCACUGUUGACGACCGAUCGUUCCUAUGGGGGCUAAAUGAUUUGAUUCGGCUGAAAUCUGUAUCUUUAAUGGAGUACAAAGGAUCACAUGCGAAAUUUCAUUGCUUUAUUCAAUCCUUUUUUUGCACAAAAAAAAAUUAAUUAAUUCAAAGUCGAAUUAAAAUACGUAAGUUAUUUUUACGUAAUAUUAUUAGGUACUUAUUCUCGAUAAAACCUUUUCAUAUAAUGGAUAAUACAAAAUGAAAUAGUAAUGUUGGUAAAUGUAGGAAAAUUCAUUAGUUAAACUUCGACCUUUACAGUAAAACAUGGAGACGGAAAUCAAAAUUGACGUCGAGAAACACAUAUAAGAGGUGCGAACUUUUGGAUUAGUUCUGGAUGGAAAGAAUUACUGAUCAAUUUGCUGCCUUCUAAGGUGUCUAAAAUAAAAAUUAUUUUUGCCCUUUCGUGAAAUAUAGCAAAGCCUCAUACCCAUACGUUUCAUUUAUAUUGGACUCACUCACUCCGUGACUCAGAAACUAACCGACUCAUUAAAUCAAGGACGCAGUAACUCACUAACUCAAGGAAUUUUUCCCUGUGUUUUUCUGAAAAUGUUUCACAUAAAUAUAGCAUACGUUUCCGAACCGAUAAAGUACAUAUGUACUGCGUCAAUAUAUAGAGUAAAGCUAUAAUUAAGCUAUUUAUAACCUCGGUGAGAUGAAAUAUGUAAGUAACUAUCAUCCGGAUUGGACCACUAUAUCAUUUAUUGAUAUGUAUACGAAAAAUAAGCGAAGGUGAAGUACUAAUGUUCGAAUAAAACAACAUAUCCCCCCAAUUUUAAAAAUAUCGGAUAUAUACAUACAUAGAAGAAGUUACAGUUACAGUAAAUAUAAAUGGUCUCUGCUGAAACGCUGCCAGCAUACUAAUGCGUCAUUGCCAUCAGAACAAGAAAUGAAAACCUUAAACGUGUCACGUUGUCACUAUCACAAGGUGAUUGAUAGAGACCCUUCGACGGUUUCCCUAUGACGAUUGGCCAUCCUUCAGUGCAACAAGAGCUAAAUCCAUGGAUCACUUUCGAAGGACUGUCAGGGACAAUGUUGCGCAAUUAUGAACUGGCCGACUUCUCAAUGGCAGCCGAAAUCGCCAUCGUCGGCAGCGACAUCACCCCUAAAAUAUUUGUAAACGGCUUUCCGACGUCCCUUUUCAGUGAACUCAUGGCCCAAUGCACGAUCAGUAUGGUAAAUCCCUAUCGCUGCUCUUAUCGAAUACAAUCAGUUAAUUCGCAAUCGGCAAGUAUCAACGAAAAACUCCCUUCGUUCGUUAAAUUCAUUCUUAGAUGCUGCUGAAAAAAUCAACCAGCUGUGAAAACUUUAAAAAACAUCUCCGACGCGUGGCAGGACAUCAAAUCUUCACUUUCGAAGAAUUCUCCACCCUCCUCUCUAAAAUUGAAACAGUCCUUAACUCACGUCGACUAUACGCUCAAGAGACUGGAUCCCACUUAACUAAACACUACACCACUUUUCGAAGGGCACCCCUAACCGCUUUCUACGAGAAUCGAUCUCAGAAAACUAAAGUAGUGCAACGAGAACUGAGGAGACGAUGGAGGGAGGAAUAUGUUCGAUUCUGCGACAAGCAGGCCCGGGCAACCGGGCAAAUGCCCGGUGGGCCCUCAAGGUAGGGUAGCAGUUUUUAGUCACUAGGGCCCUUCGUACGGGGUACCCACUAAGAAUCAUUUUUGUAGCAUAACAAAUCGAUGGGCGCUGGGGCCCCUGUCGUUCACAGGCUCUGUAAGACAUUCGAUUUUCAGGCAUUGUUUUCCAAAGCGAAGAAGUAUUAUGUAGCAGAGGACUUAAUUUAUUUUUACUAUGUUUUAAUACACAAGGUUCCUAGUAAAAUACGCCGCACAAAAAGAAAAGGUUACCGGGUGAGAAAAACCAUGAAAAACAGAUUUAGAAGCUGUUUGACGCAAAAGCAUUUAGAAACUUUCUUGCUUAUGACAGUUGAAAAAAAAAACUUGAAUCAAAUUAAAGAUGAAAAAAUUAUAAACGCCUUAUCCUUACGGAGCAAUUUACUUGAAAAGCUUUUGACUGUUUGAUGAGUGUUAAAAUCUAGUAAAAUUACGCCUUACGUAGAAGCGCAUUGUUGAAAAAAAAAUAGCCAAAGAAUCGUAGUGAAUUUAAAAACUCUUUAAGCUUCCUACUGAUAAGUUCAGUGAAAUAAUUACAAAAAGAACCAAACAGUUUCUCAUCGUUUGCAUACAAAAAGGUGAAGGUUAAAUAGAAAGAACAUUGUGUUAUCCGCGCCUGGCGUCCAAUAUCUACCCUGAGUUUUAUCUACAUCCAAAUGGGUUUAACCAGAGGCUGUAGCAGCAGUUGCUGCAAAAAAAUUGUUGGAUGCAAUAAAAAGCCAAGCCGAUAUAGGAUAUUAUCAACAAAUCGUCUAUGAGCUGUGAUGCGACAGACACGAAUACAAAAACUAAGAUACCAGAAACUUUUCUUAGAAGUCGACCAAAAAAAUGGCUUUACACUAAUGUCGGAUACGCCGUAGUCGAGUACAAAGGCGGUUUGCUUCGUAACUAUUUAUACCUUAGUUUUUUAGAGGCAAUUAAAAUCCUAAAUGGUGAAAACACCAUAAUCGCAGAAAUUUAAAACGAAAGAAAAGUUUCCACAAAGGAAAAAGAGAAUCAAAAACACAGACCAAUCCGAACUGGUCCUAUUUCCCACAUCGAUAAUAAAACACAUAAUCUGGCAAUGCCACGCUGCCCAGCCUA